GUAAGGUGGUAUCUCACUGUGGUUUUAAUUUGCAUUUGCCUGAUGAUUAGUGAUGUUGAGCAUUUUUUCAUUUGCCUGUUGGUCGUUUGUAUACGUUCUUUUGACAAAUGCUUAUUCAUGUCCUUUGCUCACUUUUUAAUGGGAUUAUCUUUUUUAUCUUGUUGACUUAUUUGAGUUUCUUGUAGAUUUUGUAUUGUAGUCCUUCGUUGGAUGCAUACUUUGUAAAUAUUUUGUUUUAUUCUGUGGGUUGUCUGUUUGCUUUGUUGAUUAUUUCUUUUGCUGUGCAGAAGAGUUUUAGUUUAAGUAGGUCCCACUUGUUUAUUUAUUUGUUUUGUUGCAUUUUCUUUUGAAGUUUUAGUCAUACAUUUUUUGCCUAUGCCAAUGUCCGAAAGAGUUUUUCCAAGGUUAUCUUGUAGAAUUUUUAUGGUUUCAGGUCUUAUGUUUAAAUCUUUAAUCCAUCCUAAGUUGAUUUUUGUAUAAGGUGAGAGAUAGGGACCCAGUAUCAUUCUUUUCUAUGUAGCUAGCCAGUUUCCCCAGCACCAUUUAUUGAAUAGGGUCUCGUUUCCCUAAUUUAUAUUUUUGUAUGCUUUGUUGAAAAUCAGUUGGUUGUAAGUAUUUGGCUUUAUUUCUGGGUUCUUUAUUAUUCUGUUUCAUUGGUCCAUGCCUACUUUUAUACCACUACCAAGCUGUUAUGGUAAUAAUCUUGUUGUAUAAUUUGAAGUCAGGCAACGUGAUGCCUCCAGAUUUGUUUAUUUUACUAAGGAUUGCUUUGGCUAUUUGGGCUCUUUUUGUUCUGCAUGAAUUUUCGGAUUUUUUUUCUAAUUCUCUGGAAAAUGAUGAUUGCAGUUUAAUUGAAAUUGCACUGAAUCUGUAGGUCGCUUUGGGUAGUAUAAUCAUUUUUCCCAAUAUUGAUUCUUCUCAUUAAUGACUAUGAAAUGUGUUUCCAUUUGUUUUUGUUAUCUGUGAUUUACUUCAGCAGUGUUUUGUAGUUCUCCUUGUAGAGAUCUUUCACCUCCGUGGUUAAGCAUAUUCCUAGAUAUUUUAUUUUUUUAUUUUUACAGCUGUUAUAAAAGGGUUUGAGUUCUUGAUGUAAUUUUCAACUAAGUCGCUGUUGGUGUAUAGCAGUGCUAAUAAUUUGUGUACAUUGAUUUUGUAUCCUGUUACUUUAGUGAAUUAUUUUAUCAAAUCUAGGAGUCUUUUGGAGGAGUCCUUAGGGUUUUCUAGGUAUACAAUCAUAUAAUCAUUAAACAAUAAUAGUGUGACUUUCUCUUCUUCAAUUUGGAUGCUCUUUAUUUAUUUCCUUUUCCUGAUUGCUCUGGCUAGGACUUCUACUGCUAUUUUGAAUAGAAGUGGUGAAAGUGGGCAUCCUUGUCUUGUUCCUGUUCUCAGGGGGAUUGCUUUCAACUUUUCCCCAUUUAGUAAGAUGUUGGCUGCGAGUUUGCCAUAUAUAGCUUUUCUUAUUUUGAUAUAAGUUCCUUCUAUGCCUAGUUUGUUGAGGAUUUUUAUCAUAAGGGGAUGCUGGAUUUUAUAGAAUGUUUUUCUGCAUCUAUUGAGAUGAUUAUAAAUUUUUUGUUUUUAAUUCUUGUUUAAGUAAUGUAUCUUUUUAUUGACUUGCAUAUGUUAAACUAUGUUGGCACACCUGGUAUAAAAUACACUUGAUCAUGGUGUAUUAUUUCUUUGAUGUGUGGUUGAAUUGGGUUAGCUAGUAUUUUGUUGAGUAUUUUGUUGUGUCGCUAUUAUUCAUUUUAAAGAAUUUUUAAAUUUCCAUAUAUAUUUCCAUGUUCAUCAGAAAUAUUGUUUUGUUGUUGUUGAUGUUGUUACAUCCCCUCCUAGUUUUGGUAUCAGGGUGAUACUGGCUUCAUAUAAUGAUUUAUGGAGGAUUUCCUCUUUUUCAGUCUUUUAAAAUAAUUCCAAUAGGGCUGGUAUUAAUUAUUCUUUGAAUAUCUGGUAGAAUUUAGCUGUAGCUGUGAAUCCAUCUGGGCCUUGGGCUUUUUAUUGCUGGCAAUUUUAAAAUUUCUGAUUGCUAUUUGUCUAUUCAGGGUUUCUAUUUCUUGCUGAUUUAAUCUAGGAGAUUUGUAUGUUUCCAGGAAUUUAUUUAUUUCCUCUAGAUUUUCUAGUUUGUGUGCAUGAAGAUUUCAUAGUAUUCUCAAAACAUCUUUUGUAUUUCUGUGAUGUUGGUUGUAAUGUCUCUAGUUUCAUUUCUGAUUGAGCAUGUUUAAAUCUUCUCUUUUUUAUUGGUUAACCUAGCUAAUGGCCUAUCAAUUUUCUUUAUUUUUUCAAAGAACCAUCUUUUGUUUCAUUGACAUUUUGUACUGUGUUUCAGUUUCAUUUAGUUCUGCUCUGAUCUUUGUUAUUUCUUUUCUCCUGCUAGCUUUGAGCUUGCUUCAUUCUUGUUUCUCUAGUUUUUUGACAUGACAUCAGAUUAUCAAUUUAUGAUUCUUUAGAAUUUUUGAUAUAGUCAUUUUGUGCUAUGAACUUUCCUCUUAGCACUGCUUUUACUGUGUGCUAGAGCUUUUGAUAAGUUGUGUCACUAUUAUUCAUUUUAAAGAAUUUUUAAAUUUCCAUCUUAAUUUCAAAGAUACAAAGAUCCUUUAGGAGCAGAUUGUUUAAUUUCCAUUUAUUUGUGUAGUUUUGAAGAUUCCUUUUGGAGUUGAUUUCUAGUUUUUUCCUACUGUGGUCUGAGAAG
rnacentral:lncRNA from 1 species